ACGGGUGAGUAAUAUAUCGGAACGUGCCCAGUAGUGGGGGAUAGCCCGGCGAAAGCCGGAUUAAUACCGCAUACGACCUACGGGUGAAAGCGGGGGAUCGCAAGACCUCGCGCUAUUGGAGCGGCCGAUAUCAGAUUAGCUAGUUGGUGGGGUAAAAGCCUACCAAGGCGACGAUCUGUAGCUGGUCUGAGAGGACGACCAGCCACACUGGGACUGAGACACGGCCCAGACUCCUACGGGAGGCAGCAGUGGGGAAUUUUGGACAAUGGGCGCAAGCCUGAUCCAGCCAUGCCGCGUGCGGGAAGAAGGCCUUCGGGUUGUAAACCGCUUUUGUCAGGGAAGAAACGGUCUGAUCUAAUACAUUGGACUAAUGACGGUACCUGAAGAAUAAGCACCGGCUAACUACGUGCCAGCAGCCGCGGUAAUACGUAGGGUGCAAGCGUUAAUCGGAAUUACUGGGCGUAAAGCGUGCGCAGGCGGCUUUGCAAGACAGAUGUGAAAUCCCCGGGCUCAACCUGGGAACUGCAUUUGUGACUGCAAGGCUGGAGUACGGCAGAGGGGGAUGGAAUUCCGCGUGUAGCAGUGAAAU
rnacentral:rRNA from 1 species